AGUCUGGCCUGCCCAAUGAUUUUUGAAUGGCCGCAGUAUUUUGACUGUGCAAAGGUAGCAUAAUCAUUAGUUUUUUAAUUGAAAGCUGGAAUGAAAGGUUUGAUGAGAAAAUAACUGUCUCUACAUAAAUGAUUUAGAACUUCAAUUUUAAGUGAAAAAGCUUAAAUUUUUUAUAAAGACGAGAAGACCCUAUAGAGUUUUAUAUUUAAUUAGAUUUAUUGAUUGUUGAAUUUAUUUUUAUAAUUUUAUUUAAAUAUUUCGUUGGGGCGAUGGAAAAAUUGAAUAAACUUUUUUUUGUUUGGUACAUUAAUUUAUGAAUAUUUGAUCCUUGUAUUUGGAUUAUAAGACUAAAUUACCUUAGGGAUAACAGCGUAAUUUUUUUUGGAGAGUUCUUAUCGAUAAAAAAGUUUGCGACCUCGAUGUUGGAUUAAAAUUAAAUUUUGGUGUAGAAGCUAGAAUUUUAGGUCUGUUCGACCUUUAAAAUUUU
rnacentral:rRNA from 1 species